rnacentral:lncRNA from 1 species
ACCCCUAAAGUUACAAAUAGUAUAAUCAACAUUAUACAUUGAUAAAAAGUUUAAAGUAAUUCUAGAAAGGUCACAUUUGUAUAGAGAAAAAAAAAAUAUAUCAUUACAUUAGAAAAAGAACGAUAUUUAAAAAAAAAAAUUGAUUACAAAAUAACAUAAGAACAAAAACAAGGACACAACCCCAAAAUUUAUAUUAGGGUUAGUCAUUUAUUCUUUUAAACAAAACAAAAAAAGGGCAAUAAAUUUUCAAUCUUCUCAAUCCCAUGCACCAAAAUAAGUUAGUGUGUUAUAUCACUAACAUUUCUUAGUGCAUGUACAUCUCAGCCUGAAGCCAGGACAUUUGCCUCCCAUGAAGCCCUCUUUUUGGCAAGCAUCUGCACAGCUGCUUGAUCGUAAGCAAAAUCCCUUGAAUUUCGUGCUCAGAGACUCACAAGUCCUUGACUCUCCUUUGUUGCGACCUUGCCCUCAGCAACCAUUGGACCCGUCCCUGCCAAACAUUCAUCGAUAAAAAUUAACGAGAGAAGGUGGAUUCAAACUUGAAACAUCUUCUAGCAUUGGAAAGAAAUAUACCACUAAUCAAAUAUAAAAUUAAAAUUAAAAUGAGGAAAGAGAGAGAUACCAAUAGCCACAAGGAGCAGGACGAGGAUGAAGACAGUUGAAAACAUACGUUUAGAUCCCUCCAUCUUGAUUUUUGUGUGUGUACGUACACGCUUGUGAAACAGAAGGAUAGACAGAGGGAUGUUGAAUGUUGAUUCAAGAUGCCUUGAUUC